rnacentral:lncRNA from 1 species
CAGAUCAAAAAGGGCAUCGUAAACUGAAACGUGUCCAAAGAAGGGUGUAAUAAAUAAAUAAAUAAAUAAACUGAAACAUGUCCAAAGAAGGGUGGCCAAGAUUGUUAAAGUUCUGAGACUCAGACCCUAUGGAGAAUGGUUGAGGGACUCAGCCUGGAAAAGAGGUGCCUCGGGUGUAACACAAGAGCCAUCUUUAAACAUUUAAAUGGCUGUCAUGUGGAAGAUGGAGAGAGCUUCUUUUUCAUGGCUCCAGAGGAUAGGACUUGAACCAACGGAUUCCGAUUACAAGAAGGGAGAUUGUGUCUAAACAUCAGAAAGAACUUCCUGGAGGUGACAGGUGUUCAACCAUGGAAUGAAUUACCUGAACAGGUAGGCGAUGGACUUUUCUUUAUGGGAAAGUUCUAAACAGAGCUUGGAUGGCUGUCUGUCAUGGAUGUUCUAAACAGAGCUUGGAUGGCUGUCUGCCAUGGAUACCAUUUGAGGUGUGGUUUUCUGGCUUUGGCAGGAAAUAGGACUUCAUGAGCCCCUGGCCCUUUCCAGAGCCACCGUUCUAGGGCUGUGUGAAGUCAAUCUACCCAUUCAUUAAUGGUCUCUUUCUCUUUAUGACAUCACUAUCUCCUGCCCAAGUAUUCACAGGAUGAUGGCAGAGCCAAGCUCCAGAGCUAAAAGGGAAGGAAAUGGCUGCCGCAGGAGAACAAGUUUCCCUACUAAGUGAAUAUGGAAGAAUCAUGCUCUAUGACAGAUACGUUCCAGACAUUGAGAGUUACCACUCGAUACAAAAGCCCAGAGCCAGCCUAAGCAUUCCCUUGGACUUUCCCAAACCAUUACGACCUGGUACCAAAAAGAGAUCAAGACCAUCCAUUUUAAAGCAGCCUGACCAAUCAAAACUUGAGUACAGAGAAGUAAUGUUUCCAAGCCCUCCAAUGGUUCACGUAGCCGACAGGGUUAGCAAGAUGGCAUAUAGGGUGUCUACUUUAGAGGCGUCUGAGGAACCGGACCAAGAUGAGGCCAAAAGGAAAAAAAAAUUCUGGGAAAAGUCGCCAUGUUGGGAAAAGAUAAAGUCGAAAUGCCCGUGUCUGAGGAAAAAGAAGCCUCCGGACUCAGAUGAAUCCAUUUCCUAUGUCUUUCCUCCGGAACCUACGGAUACCGUCUCCUUUGAGGGCAACUGUGGGACACGUCACCUCACGACAUUUCCUCCCUCACAGCUCCCGACCUCUCCAGAAACGAAACCUCAGAAACGGAUCCGACAGGAAGAAAAUGCCGGUGUGAGCCCUCCGCCAGACACCCCAGUGCCGAAGUCAGUGUAUUCCAUCUUUGAUGCCCCACCGCCACCAGCCUCAGCUGACGGCCAGGAUCCAGAACAAACGAAAUUGCCCAAAGGGAUUUUGAAAGGCUCAGAAGAAAGAAUGCAAGCUGGCAAAUCUGUUUCCAUCCUUUUACCUUCAGAAACAGAGGAGGGCAAGGUUUCGCCGGGUUUGGUACCUCAGCAGUCGACAACUCACUUCAGAAGCCAAGAAAUUUCACGUCCGGUGGCUCAACCAUCUUCUGAAGCCACGAGGCCUGCCAGCCCUACCAGUGAAAUUUAUGAAGAGGUAGCCUCUUCUCCCGCCACCUCCCAAAAGCCGACGCCUGUCUUGCCCAUGACUGAGGCACCAUCGCAAAACGCUGCUAAAAAAGAUUCCAGGAAAGAGGAACAGGCCAAAAUUUGCCCCUCAGCAGCUCCAGAAACAAAGCCACCCAAGCCGCCCCCAGCUUCUUCUGCAUGUGUAGAAGUUUCGCCAACAGCUAACACCAACCUCUUUCAAACCCCUGGAGAUAAAAUGUGGUCCUUCUCCCCUGUACCAGCUGACCAGUACCAAGGAGUAGAUGAUGCUACACCCAUCACUUCUCUCAGAUCACAGAGAAAAGCACAUUUCUUUGCCAGAGCUACUGCACCGGCCCGAAAAACAGCCAAGAAAAGUCCCAGAGAAGGUCAAGAUGAAGCUGGGAAAGAUUCUGGGAAAGGAAAAGAAGAUUCCGGAAAAGAAAAAGAAGAUUCCGGAAAAGAAAAAGACGAUUCCGGAAAAGAAAAAGACGAUUCUAGAGAAGAAAAAGAAGAUUCUGGAAAAGAAAGGGAGGAAGCUGGAGAAGGUUCCAGGAAAGAAAAAGGAAAUGGUAGAAAAUAUUCUGGAAAAGAAAGAGAAGAGGCCAAACUUGCAACUUCCGAUGCACCCUCACUUGAGCUUUCAGCUGCUCAGGAAAGACCACCUGCGACUAACAAAGCAGCACCGGAGUUUUCUACUGAGAAGACACCACAGGAAUCAGCCAGAAGCCAAUUCUGCGUUGAGGAGGUUCCUUUACCCACCCUCUCUCCCACAGCCGAACACUACGCACCUCGGUUGGCCAGGCGACCUCAGACCAUCGUGGCAAGUCCUGGUCAAGGGAUAGGCGUGGGCAGAUUCUCUCCCCUUGAAACUAUGGCGGCGCCUUCAAGGAUGGCAUCGUCAGGAAAAAGGGAGGCACCCCUGCCUGGAGCAAAAUGGGUUCACAAAUUGCUUCUCUAAAAAGGAAGGCAGGAAUUAUUUCUUAGUCCCAUCACGGUGCGCCUCUGGGGAUUCCUCGCGCGGCAGCUGGCACGGAGGCACAACUCUUCCAUUUAUUAAAAGCUAACAAAUAAAACAUCCUCACGAAAACA